ACUUGAAUAGUCAAGUGGAUAAGACACACCUUGAAAUUAUUCUGUCCCAAGAUUUCAUCUUUCAAGGAGGCCGGGGUUCGAUUCCCUCUUUCAAGCG